UACGGGGGGGGCAAGCGUUGUUCGGAAUUACUGGGCGUAAAGGGCUCGUAGGUGGCCAACUAAGUCAGACGUGAAAUCCCCAGGCUCAACUUGGGAACUGCGUCUGAUACUGGAUGGCUUGAAUUCGGGAGAGGGAUGCAGAAUUCCAGGUGUAGCGGUGAAAUGCGCAGAUAUCGGGAGGAACACCAGUAGCGAAGGCGGCUCGCUGGGCCGUUCCUGACGCUGAGACGCGAAAGCUAGGGGAGCGAACAGG
rnacentral:rRNA from 1 species